AAGGUCAAUUUCUUUCGAUGAGUGGAGGUUUAGUGCAUGUUUUUCUUGCAUCAUGACUAGAUCCACACUCAUCCAUGGAAGUUGCGA
rnacentral:pre_miRNA from 11 species